GGUUGUUAUGGGAGUGGAACUGGUGUCUUUAUAAGAAGAGGAAGAGAGACCUGAGCUAGAAUGCUCAGCCUUUGUGCCAUGUGAUCAUGUGAUGCCCUGUGCAGCCUUGCGGCUCUGCAGAGGCCCCAUCAGCAAGAAGCCUCUCACCAGAUGACUCUCCUCAACCAGCUUCUAGAACUGACUGCUUGGGAGUCCGUGGACACCUGGUUAAGGAUUCCUAUGGACAGAUCAAUUAACCCAAGGGCUCCAGGAGAUGCAGAUCAAAGACCGCCACACAAGAAAGAGGCCACACAGAUAAAGAGCCCAGGACCUGCUGUCAGACCUCCCCAGAUUCAGAUUCUUAGGCCUGCCCCUUAUAGGCUGUGUGACCUCGGACAAGUUCCUUAUUUACUCUGAGCCUGAGUGUCCUCGCUCGUAAAAUGGGUCUAACAACGACCACCUCCAAGAAAGAUCACGAUGCUGAAAUGACUCAGAACAGUGCCUGGAGUGGAAGAGCUGCUGGGAAAAUAAUAACUGCUAUUUCUACAUCAGUUAUGCCAGUUCUUUUUGACCUAAGAAACUCCAGCGCUUUUAAUACAAUCAAACUGGGUUAUUGGUGACUUACAGAGGAGACCCUAGGCAGGUAACUAUUGAACCUUGAAAACCGUAACAUGGACACAGAGUAGAGAGCCCAUUUAUCUCAACUGGAUUCUUCUCAGUGGACUUCGAGCUUCUUAUCAGAAAAACACUUUGAUGACAGCGCUUAGUGCUUAACAGCUUAAGAGCAGUUCAAACAUGCGCCAGAGGCUUGCUGAGGAGGCCCGCCCUCCAGAUUCUGCAAAUAGAUACACUGGGGUGUGACAUUCUUAACCCUGUCUUUAAUACAACUGCCACAUCCCAGCGUUCCUUGACAGACUGUGGAGCACACCUAAGCCACCUUGCUUGCCAUAGGGUUUGGCUCCAUGACCUUGAUGUGAGUUCAUAGAUUUGUUUGCAGUUGUGAAAAUUAAAUGAGAGAGCGAGA
ensembl:lncRNA novel transcript